UGUUCUUCUUAGUCAUCCUGAUCUCGAGCCAUCGGAGUGUUGCUAUGAAGUUGUAAGGCAGAACAGGGUGGGAGAGCGAGCGCACCCUAGUGUUUGAACCUUUCUAGGUCCGCGGAGCCCCGAUUUCGACACGUGCCCUUGAAGUUGGUGAUGAAAUGCGUGCAUGGCUUGGACCAUUAAGAGAUGGAGCCCUCGUGGAGGUUCAUCAGCCACGAACAUGUGACAGCUUGGAGGUCCAUGGGGAACCAGUUUGCCAUGGCCUUGUUGUUCCAACCAUAGCUUCGAUGUCGAUGGUGUAGAGUUGUAGGAACUCCAUGGGGUUAGGGUGCCAUUGUAGCGAAGAGGUAACUCCUUCUUGAGCGGCAUGGGUCACACCAUAUGGUGUAGCUCACGAGUGGAGGCAUGACAGCCCCCUCUGCAGGAAGUGACGCCAUCGGCGAGGGUGACACGAUUCUGGUACCUGGUCGCCACGACAUCCUAGAUGGUGCACUUAUGGCGCUCGCGCUACCAUUUGAGGAUCACGUGUGCGUGUGGGUCUGUGCGCCAAACAAUCUCAUAGUUGGGAUGUGCAUGGGGUCGUGAGGACACUCCGUGGGACGGCUCCAGAGCAUGACCAUCAUGGCACCGCCCAUCGUCAUUUUUGGGCGGAGGAGGCUGAGGAGGAGCACUGUUCCCUACCUACGUGCCAUGCAACACCAAAGGGGGCACGAAAUGACUAAGAGUCGGGGCGUCUCCAGCGGUGUUGACGAGCUCGGUGAUGCGCGCAAGCUAGGCAUCAUAGUCGGUCGUGGUGGGACAGUAUCCUAGCAGCUCGCGCGCCAUGAGGAGCACGGCCUACGAGGAGGCUGGUCACAAUGGUCGUCUGAAGCCUUAGUGGUGGUGCAUGCGGGUCGUGGCUGCUCCUGCACGGACAGGUGGAGGGAGAAGGUUUGCUCCUCUCCGGCUACGAUCUUGGUGGUGGCACGAGGACGUUUGCGGCGGUUGGCGUUGACGACAGACUCAGUGCAGACCAUCUCGGCCCUACGGAGGGCACGUUGGCGUCGCGCAUUGGCCAUGUUGGUGUCGAGGUCGAAGACAUGGAAGCAGCCCCCUACCUGGCAUGCCAAAUGUUGAAGAUUUUUUUGGGCCUAAGGAAAAAACCUCCAAGAACCCUAGUUCGAGCACUGGGGAGCUCACCCGCAAUCUAUGACCUGACUAUGACCUCGGCCAGACUACACGCACAAAGCACAACGGGGACACACUGAUUGCCCAGGUUCGAGUCACUAGAAAAUGUAAAACCCUACUCCUGCAUGAUGGGAUUGCACUUGGGGAGUUCACAAGCGUUACAAGCUUGGAGGUGGAAGAAAGGCAUCCUCGAGAGAUAGUGGUAUUGAUCACAGAGAGAAGUCUCUAGCCCAAGGUGG
rnacentral:lncRNA from 1 species